rnacentral:rRNA from 1 species
CCUACGUGAGGCAGCAGUGAGGCAUAUUGGUCAAUGUGCGAGAGCCUGAACCAGCCAAGUCGCGUGAGGGAGUACUGCCCUAUGGGUUGUAAACCUCUUUUGUCGGGGAGCAAAAGCCGGACGUGUCCGGCUGUGAGAGUACCCGAAGAAAAAGCAUCGACUAACUCCGUGCCAGCAGCCGCGGUAAUACGGAGGAUGCGAGCGUUAUCCGGAUUUAUUGGGUUUAAAGGGUGCGCAGGCGGGGUCACAAGUCAGCGGUAAAAUCGCGGGGAUCAACCCCGCUCCGCCGUUGAAACUGUGUCCAGUGAGUGCGCGAAGGGUAGGCGGAAUGCGGGGUGUAGCGGUGAAAUGCAUAGAUAUCACGCAGAACUCCGAUCGCGAAGGCAGCCUACCGGCGCGCAACUGACGCUCAUGCACGAAAGCGUGGGUAUCGAACAGGAUUAGAUACCCUUGUAGUC